UACGGGGGGAGCAAGCGUUGUUCGGAUUUACUGGGCGUAAAGGGCGCGUAGGCGGCGCAACAAGUCACUUGUGAAAUCUCCGGGCUUAACCCGGAGCGGCCAAGUGAUACUGUCGUGCUAGAGUGCGGAAGGGGCUACUGGAAUUCUCGGUGUAGCGGUGAAAUGCGUAGAUAUCGAGAGGAACACCUGGAGGCGAAGGCGGGUAGCUGGGCCGACACUGACGCUGAGGCGCGAAAGCUAGGGGAGCAAACGGG
rnacentral:rRNA from 1 species